CUAACUUCUAAAGGAAGAAUGAUUAAAUUGGCAACAGUUUUCUCAGCAGCUGCAAUCAGAGCGACAAAACAGUGAAAUAAGAGCUUCAAUGCUCUGAUGUAAAAUCAUUGUCAACCUGGAACUCUACUCAACUAUGACCUGAGAAUGAAGGCAAAAUUAAGAUAUUUUGAGCAAUUUAAGAUAGAGAAGACCUGUUUCCCAAGCACAGGCGUCAGCCUGUUCUCGCCCCAGAUGCUCUCUUCUUUAGAAGUUUAGCUAUUUCGAGAUGGAUGCUGUGUAACAAGAGUGGACGGACAUGGAUUUGGUGGAUGGGUGCUGACCACCCAUUACUCUCUCUUUUCAGGGUGCCUUCCAGGAUGAAGAGGCCAAAGCUGCGCUCUUAGGCACCGUCUUCUAUGUUUCCCAGGCUCCUCGCAGUGGAUUGCGGCAGUGAUUCAUGCCCUGUCAGAUGUACUCACACAAGAUCUGCAUUUGCUGUUUGUGCUGUGUCUUGUUGGCAAGCCGAGUUGUGAAGCUUUGUCCCCAUGCUGGAGUCCUAGCAGAGGCCCCAGGGGCCAUGAGCUACUUUUUUUGACCAUACAGAGAGGCGGUGUGGAGAACACCCAAUUUUUUGGGUGUAGCUGGGGCAGUUUGCCUUGGAUCUCAAGACGUGUAGUAGCAGAGUUGCAGGGAUUUUCUGUUUGUGGUGGCUGCGUGUGUGUGGUCUCUUCCUCACCGAAGGGGGAGAUUGUAGCCGGGAAAGGAUGGUUCUGGAGCAAGUGACUUCCUGUAUAUGGCAGAGAGCAAUGCAACACUUUGAAUCAGGCAGGAUUCAGCAGAUUGUGGCUCUCAAGGCCACCCAAGAGACUCUUCUCUGUUGUCAACCAUUAGCACUCAGGGAGAAAAAGGAAAAGAAAGAUCACAUUCAGGGCUAUAAUCAUGAGGAGUAUGUGGUGAAGGAAGGGAACUUCAAAACUAGGAACCUAGGAGUUUAUAUAGGAGAAAUAGAGCUUCUGGAGAGAAAAGGAGAAACCCAAUCUCCCCAAUGUAAACAAAUUCCAUUUGGGAAGAAAAAGGAAGGGUCUCUGGGAUCUUGCCUAUGGAAAUUUAAAUGUCUCCAGAGGGGAGGUAAGCAUUUCAGGGUUUAUACUCUAGGGUUUUAUAUUUAUAAGUGAUCAAAUGAAAAUUUGAUUUUUUUAAAAGGAGAUUCGUGAAAUAUUAAACUAGAUUUUCAGAAAGGACUCUCACUUACAAGUAGCCUCAAUGGUUGCGCAGGUAGGAAGAAUAAUGUCUACCCCAUUUUUGUAAUGAAUAUCUCUGGUGAUUGCAUCAGGAAAAGACCAUACUUCUGUAGAUGUGGAUGGUUUCCUCUCUGCUGAUUCCCUUUUGUUUGGUUCCACUAAGAUCCCCUAUUUGCCACCCAUCGCUAGUGUGGUUGAUUUCAACUGUGCAAAUUUGGACCCAAUUAGUCUGUCCUCUGCACCCUGGCUUAAUGUAGCCUGUCCACUGCCUGAGGCAUUUGCCUCUUAAGUAUUUGCAGUGGGAGGCUGAGCCUCCCAACUCCUUAGUUGC
ensembl:lncRNA